AGUUGACUAAGCUUAUCAGGGGGACCCGGGCUGCAUUUAGCCACUGGGUGAGCCAGACUCCUGCCGCCUCACUUUCCCAGUCAACAAAGCUCACAUUAGAGCGGUUGACUGGUCAGGCGAGGUGAGUCAGGGUUAAGGUGAAGAGCUGGGACCAGGCUCACCUUGCUCAGUCACAUGUUACCAUUUGGCAACCCGUCCCUCCUCCCUCAAACAUGCUAGCUGGAUCCUCGAUCCUCACAGAAUCCUGGGUGCAGCCUGAGCCACACCUGCCCUCCCAGGCGUUGUCCCUCCGGUCCCAGAUGGGCCCACUGCCUUCUGCCACCCCAGCCUCAGGUGAGACUGAUCGGAGCAAGGUGUGACCUCCAAGGAAUGACAGAAGGGAAUGAUUUUUGAGCUGAGAAGAAUGUAUUCAAACUCCAUGCAGUGUUGCGAAAGGUCUUUUUUUGUUAGCUCUGUUUUUGCUCUGAGAAGGUCUUUUUUUUUUUUUUUUUUUUUUUUUUUUUCUUUUUACUUCUGGAGGUCUUGAUGCUUACAGCAAUCACCUGGCUUUUUCUGGUCUGGAAGUCAUAUCUGUCUCCUCACCAAGGGCCUUGCUUCCACUUCAUAACAUCCUCCAUUCCAACUCUCCAUACUUGUCAGCAGAGGAUACACACGUAGGAAACAAUCAGAUCUACGAACCAAGCUAUCAAUAUUUGCCUUCCUGCCCCGUCAUGGGUCAUAGGCUCUGACGCAGAAGUGAUGCUGUAAGAGUCUGCCUGGUUACCCCACUCACCUCCCCAGAAAGUGCACGCUGGUCACUCAUAUUGAUCCAAACAGAAAACAGCCCUUUGACGUCACCCCAGCUUUGCCUCCUCUUUCUCCACAAGCCCAACCUUGGAAAAUUUCCUAUUCGGCUUUAAAAAAAAAUGAAUGAUAACCUGAAUGGAAACAGAGAUAGCCUAUUUAUCAGAAUUUCAUACGAUACAAAAUGGAAUCACUAAAAAUAGGGUAAAGGUGUAAGGUUCCAAGUCAACCUCGACAGGACUCGACUUUAACAAGAUGACAUUUACUAGUGGUCAAUGAAAAGUGCCCCCAAAAUAGCACAGCUAUAUAAUUUCAGAGUUUGAAAGAUAGAACUAACAGAGCUACACAUUGACCCGCAAGCUCAGUAGGAGUCAAGGGCACAACGUGACUCUCAAAAAACCUAAAGCAAGUUUAGGCUGCAUCAUCAGAAAUGUCAAGAACAAGAGAAGGAGGUGAUGAUCCCGUUCUUCUCGGCUCUGCUGGGCCACACCUGACGUGUUGUGUUUCCCUUCUGACACCACUCCAGGAUGAACACUGACAAAAACUAUCUUGUAUUAGAGGAGUGGAAACAGGAAG
rnacentral:lncRNA from 1 species